rnacentral:tRNA from 1 species
GGACACGUGCCUGAAUUAAAGGAUCACCUUGAUAGGGUGAAUGAUAGAGGUCAAAAUCCCCUCGUUUCCU